CCAUCCUUGCGAAGACCCUUCUUAAAUCUUAGCUCUAGUUCACUGGGAGUCAUUGUUUGAGUUUCGGAAGUAUUAGUGUGUGAGAGAGUGUGUGUGUGAGAGGGUGUGGUGUGAGUGUGUGUGUAUACAUAUAUUUCGUCUUCUGUCUUUUCAGCUCCACAGUUACACUGCACACCUCCUGAAAGUUGAGCCUGUGUCUUGAACUUUUUCUCUCUCACAGUGUCUAACACAGUACGCCAUCAGUAAAUACUUGUGACUAUUGUCCUGUACACCCUCGCCAACCCUGAAAUUUCAGAAUUCCUAGAGGACAACAAAAAUAGAAGACAGGACAUUCUGAACUGUUUUUGACAGACCGCGUCUAUGCCUCUGUUCUCCUUAGUCCUUCAGAGCUGCUGCUGGAGUAGAAACAUGGGAAACAGAGUGAUUGGGCAAGGUGUUGUAGGAGCUUAUGAAUGACUUUAGGUUCAGAAAGAUAAGGACAAUAAUCUGAAGAUACUGAGGUAAACCGUAAGCUUUGAGCAAUACAUCCAAACAGAAUAUAGGGUUGAAAGGGAAUAACCCAUUUAGUCAGCUCACAGGAUUUUAGGAGAAGUGUGGCAGAUUUAGUUUCUAUCCGUGAGCAAAAAGAUUCUGGUAAGUCUUGUCAAAUGUGCCAUUUCUAGCUAAUUCCAUGUCUCUCACCACUAGAAAAAGGUGGCGACUGUUAUCCUGCCAGGGUUCUUUCCAGCCCAUUUAUUGAAAUAGAAAUCUCCUUGUCUCUGAAGUUCCCUAAUCACGCUAAAUCCUGACCGUGUCAUUCCUCAUGCUGUAUCAUCCCUCCUUCCGCUGUGAAUGCUACUAAUUGCUCCCAAAGGUUCUCACUGUGCUUCAUGGAUGAUGAGCACACAUAUAAGAAAACGUAAACCAUUAUUUUUUUACUUAAAUUCAGUUUUCCAUUUUUCCAUGUUUUUUUUUAUUAUUUUUUUAUGCUAGACUCACUGUAUUCCAAGAAUGGGAUCACUUUCAGAGUUGACAGUAUCCCUGCCUUUCACAUACUACUGCCUGCCAGAGGCUUGUCAAGAGGCCCAAGGGCAAGUGAUAAGAGCGGUCCCAUCCAGGCCAGGAAUGUCUGUUUCUUGUCUAGCUUGACAUUAAGACUGACCCAGGGCAGCCUGACAUUGCUACAUCAGUGGAGGCAAGACAGGACGGAUUAGAAAUGCCUGCUGAUGUUAGGAAAGCCCUAGGGGGAGAGAGAUAGCUGCCCCAGAGGGCUGCCUGAUCCAUCAUGUGGAGCUCCGGGGAAGAGUGGACUGACCAUCUUGGGUUCCAGUGGCCGGAGACAUGGAGGCUAAGAGAUGGGUGUUGCCACCCACUGCCUUUGCAUUCUGUAAACUAGAGGUGACACUGUAGUUGGAAGACGGAUGUGUAAG